UACGUAGGGUGCGAGCGUUGUCCGGAAUUACUGGGCGUAAAGAGCUCGUAGGUGGUUUGUCGCGUUGUUCGUGAAAACUCACAACUCAAUUGUGGGCGUGCGGGCGAUACGGGCAGACUGGAGUACUGCAGGGGAGACUGGAAUUCCUGGUGUAGCGGUGGAAUGCGCAGAUAUCAGGAGGAACACCGGUGGCGAAGGCGGGUCUCUGGGCAGUAACUGACGCUGAGGAGCGAAAGCGUUGGGAGCGAACAGG
rnacentral:rRNA from 1 species